rnacentral:rRNA from 1 species
UGCCAGCCGCCGCGGUAAUACAGAGGGUGCAAGCGUUAAUCGGAAUUACUGGGCGUAAAGCGCACGUAGGCGGCUAAGCCAGUCAAAUGUGAAAGCCCCGGGCUCAACCUGGGAAGGCCAUUUGAUACUGCUUAGCUAGAGAAUGGUAGAGGUAAGUGGAAUUUCCGGUGUAGCGGUGAAAUGCGUAGAUAUCGGAAGGAACACCAGUAGCGAAGGCGACUUACUGGACCAUUACUGACGCUGAGGAGCGAAAGCGUGGUGAGCAAACAGGAUUAGAUA